CGGACGGGUGAGUAACGCGUGGGUAACCUGCCUCAUACAGGGGGAUAACAGCCAGAAAUGACUGCUAAUACCGCAUAAGCGCACGGAACCGCAUGGUUCUGUGUGAAAAACUCCGGUGGUAUGAGAUGGACCCGCGUCUGAUUAGCUAGUUGGCGGGGUAACGGCCCACCAAGGCAGCGAUCAGUAGCCGGCCUGAGAGGGUGGACGGCCACAUUGGGACUGAGACACGGCCCAAACUCCUACGGAAGGCAGCAG
rnacentral:rRNA from 1 species